rnacentral:snRNA from 1 species
CUGCAUCGAGCCCUUCGU